GAUGAACGCUGGCGGCGUGCCUAAUACAUGCAAGUCGAGCGAACAGAUGAGGAGCUUGCUCCUCUGACGUUAGCGGCGGACGGGUGAGUAACACGUGGAUAACCUACCUAUAAGACUGGGAUAACUUCGGGAAACCGGAGCUAAUACCGGAUAAUAUAUUGAACCGCAUGGUUCAAUAGUGAAAGACGGUUUUGCUGUCACUUAUAGAUGGAUCCGGGCGGCAUUAGCUAGUUGGGAAGGUAACGGCUUACCAAGGCAACGAUGCGUAGCCGACCUGAGAGGGUGAUCGGCCACACUGGAACGGAGACACGGUCCAGACUCCUACGGGAGGCAGCAGUAGGGAAUCUUCCGCAAUGGGCGAAAGCCUGACGGAGCAACGCCGCGUGAGUGAUAAAGGUCUUCGGAGCGUAAAACUCUGUUAUUAGGGAAGAACAAAUGUGUAAGUAACUAUGCACGUCUUGACGGUACCUAAUCAGAAAGCCACGGCUAACUACGUG
rnacentral:rRNA from 1 species